UGGGGAAUUUUGGACAAUGGGGGAAACCCUGAUCCAGCCAUCCCGCGUGUGCGAUGAAGGCCUUCGGGUUGUAAAGCACUUUUGGCAGGAAAGAAACGUCGCGGGUUAAUACCCCGCGAAACUGACGGUACCUGCAGAAUAAGCACCGGCUAACUACGUGCCAGCAGCCGCGGUAAUACGUAGGGUGCAAGCGUUAAUCGGAAUUACUGGGCGUAAAGCGUGCGCAGGCGGUUCGGAAAGAAAGAUGUGAAAUCCCAGAGCUUAACUUUGGAACUGCAUUUUUAACUACCGGGCUAGAGUGUGUCAGAGGGAGGUGGAAUUCCGCGUGUAGCAGUGAAAUGCGUAGAUAUGCGGAGGAGCACCGAUGGCGAAGGCAGCCUCCUGGGAUAACACUGACGCUCAUGCACGAAAGCGUGGGGAGCAAACAGGAUUAGAUACCCUGGUAGUCCACGCCCUAAACGAUGUCAACUAGCUGUUGGGGCCUUCGGGCCUUGGUAGCGCAGCUAACGCGUGAAGUUGACCGCCUGGGGAGUACGGUCGC
rnacentral:rRNA from 1 species